CCAAUAGCGUAUAUUAAAGUUGUUGCAGUUAAAAAGCUCGUAGUUGAAUUUCGGGAUUGACGUGACGGUCAUGCCUUAAGGGGUAUGAACUGUUACUGUUGAUUUCUCACCUUCUGGAGAAACUUGAUGUCCUUUAUUGGGUGUCUUGCGGAUCCAGGACCUUUACCUUGAAAAAAUUAGAGUGUUUAAAGCAGGCAUUU
rnacentral:rRNA from 1 species